CGGCCGCGUCGACAAAGCCCCGGGCUCAACCUGGGAACUGCUUUCAAAACUGGCAAGCUAGAGUAUGGCAGAGGGUGGUGGAAUUUCCUGCGUAGCGGUGAAAUGCGUAGAGAUCAGGAAGAACAUCGGUGGCGAAGGCGCUCUGCUGGACCAUAACUGACACUCAGGGACGAAAGCUAGGGGAGCGAAUGGGAUUAGAUACCCCAGUAGUCCUAGCCGUAAACGAUGGAUACUAGGUGUUGUCUGUAUCGACCCGGACAGUGCCGUAGCUAACGCGUUAA
rnacentral:rRNA from 1 species